CUUUCUCCCCUCUUUCCUGGAGAGCGGCUGUUCGGGUGAGAAUGGUAUAAAUUUCAAAAACAACGAAACCUUCUUUUGCCCCCUCCGCAGCAGUCGCCUCCGGGCUUUAUUGCAAGUUUACGG
rnacentral:lncRNA from 1 species